UACGAAGGGGGCUAGCGUUGCUCGGAAUCACUGGGCGUAAAGCGCACGUAGGCGGAUUUUUAAGUCAGGGGUGAAAUCCUGGAGCUCAACUCCAGAACUGCCUUUGAUACUGGGAAUCUAGAGUCCGGAAGAGGUGAGUGGAACUCCGAGUGUAGAGGUGAAAUUCGUAGAUAUUCGGAAGAACACCAGUGGCGAAGGCGGCUCACUGGUCCGGUACUGACGCUGAGGUGCGGAAGCGUGGGGAGCAAACAGG
rnacentral:rRNA from 1 species